CUCCUCCCUCGUCUCGCCCUCUCCCUCUCUCGCCGCCGCCGCCGCCUCUGCUUUCCCCUCGCGCGGUCGCGCCACCACCUCCGCUUCGCGCCGCCGCCAUCGUCGUCCGCAUCGCCUCGCGCCUCCGCCGCCGCCGCCACCUCCGCCUUCGCCUCCGUCUUCCCCUAGCGCCGCCGCCUCCACCUCCGCCGCCAUCGACGUCGCCGUCGCCGUCUCUGAGCGCCUCCACCUCCUUCUCCCCCCUCGCGUCGCCGUCGUCGCCGAGUGCGGACUUCGAGGCGGACGCGGAGAAAGCGACGAGGCGAACGCUCCUCUCCUCUUCCACUCUCGUCUCUCCUUUGCCUGCGAGGAGCUGUGCCUCGCCGCCAUCGUCAUCGUCGUCAACCUGCCGCCGUCGUCGUCAACUGGCCGACCUAGCCGCUCGCCGCCAUCGCAGUGGCCAGAUCUGAUGGCACGAACUCAAGGCCGCCUGAUCUGAUGGCGGUGAGCUCGUGGCUGUCGAUGGUUAGGCGGUUGGUGGAGCAACCAUUGUCCUCCCACCAGCCGGCAUCACCCUUUCCGCCGCCAUCCGCACCUUGUCGCUGUGUUGGACACUUGGACGAGGGGCUCCGCCUCUUCACGCGCCGUCAGCCGCUGUGUCCGAUAGAAUCCUCCUCACGCGCCGCGAACCAUCGAUGGACCAGCUGAAGGAGCUCGGGUGGGCCAAGCGGUGGAGCUCGCAGCCAUACGUGUCGUGCUGCACGACAUCUCUGCAAGAGCUCACCACGCUUGGGAUAAAGCACGUGGAGAACCUGGCGAUUCCGAGUGUCCGAAAUGAUGUAAGGCCUGCUAAGCUUAAAAAUGUAUGCGUAGCUUUGUUUAAUUAUUUGGAAAUUGCAAUGGUGCAGCAGAGCAUGAUGAUUUGAUGGGGAUUCUGGAAUCAAGCAUUGCAAAAUUGCAAAUGCAGAAGAAUAGUAUUAGUGCCAUAAUUUGUUCAGAAGAAUAGUCCCCCAUUUUCCUUGUUGUGAUCAUGCAGGCAGCAUUUUUUUUCACUGUUGUCGGUUCAACCAGAUUCCUACCCAUUCGUGCAGGCCAGCUUAGUAUGGUUUUUCCUUGCUACCUCCUCUUUGUGCUACUCUGGAUUGCUACUCUGGAUUGAUAAAAAUAAUCUUUUUGCCUUACAAGAUAAGUGCAUUAGGCUUCGGUCACAGGUUCCUGCAAAAUAAUUUUUCUGUUGAUAUUAAUAAACAACCUGUGAUAUAUAAUUUUAGCUUUUCAAAUUUCUGUAUCUCAGGAUUGGGGCCUUUUGGUUCCUUACUUGAUUGGAAGCAUCUCAUUGAUAGUAUUGGCUAUCGGAAGCAUUUCACCAGGCUAUGUGUUUGUUGUCUCUGCUAAUAAGCCUGUGAAAGUUUGGAAGAGCCGGCAUCAAACAAUCCAGAUGUCUGACAUAUUCUAAGAUUCUUUAAAUGGAUAUUCAAGCAGCGAAACUUAUCAGCUUAAUUAAUUUAAUGUUACGUCACUCAACAUAGACUACUUAUGGCAUGACAAAUAACACUAUCUGUUUUAUGAAUGCUCAAUGAAAAUAUGUUGCAACUUUAUCAAGGAUAUAUUUUAAUUUUCCAUUCCAUCAUCACAGUCUUCUGCAAUCAGCUAUUGGCGCAUUUUUAACUGUUUUUCCUGACUAUCAGGACAGAGUUUCUAGGCAGGAAGCUGCUCAUUUUUUGGGGAUGUCUCCAGUUCUGCAAUAGGAGUAUGUCUGAAAAUAGGUUUUUUACUGACUAUAGUUUAUUGAAUAUUGAAGUGACUUAACAACCGAUCAUGACAACAGUUCUUGAGCAGUUUUAGUAUAAUGGUUAAUGAUGAUAUUGUCAUUGUAAAGAAUUAUGCUGAACUAGCCAUCUAGGUAUAGGUAAAUAACAUUGAUCAAGAAUCACUUGAAAUAUCUGAAGCUAACUUGAGUAGAACUAAAGGGCAAUACAAAAAUAUUUUUUGGAGCUAAGCUAAUGGUUAGAUGAGCUGGAUAUGCACUAAGAGCUGGAUAUGAACUAAGGCUGUCAAUUGGAUCACUCCAUUAGAUGCAAGACAAUCAUACUGACCUUUCAGAUUAAUUAAGUUGUAUAUUCUCAGAUUUUUCAGGCCCAUAGACAGUUGACAGCAAGUCAGCCACUGAAAAUGUACACUAUUACUAGCUUAGUUUUUCUCUUCCUACUCCUACUUGGUCAGUGUACUACUUAACAUUUUAAAUAAAUAAUAUCGUGGUUGUGAUUGGGCAUCUACUGGAAAAGAACUGGGGUUGAUCACUAGAGGUGUGAUUCAUGCUUGUCAGUGCUGGUAAGAAAAUUCACACAUUCCUGUCAUCCUGUGUUUAGUGAGGACUUCUUCUUCAUCUAUUACUUCCACUGAUCAGUCUUCAAUUUUGGGCAAGCUUUCUAUGUACUGAUAGUUCGUGUAGUUAGCUUCCAACCAAAGUGGAAUUUGUUCUGUGCUUGACAAUGUGACAUGUCUUAGUUUAAUUUGGUUUUGGCUAAUUUAAUCUUGACAACAAAAUGCACUGUAGUAGGAAUCACUUGAUGUUUUUCAUAAGUACACAUGAUGAAAUUAUUUUUUACAGUUCUGUAUAAGAUGUUUUUUAUCUCUCUGAAUUUAUCAAAGCCACAUUUUUAGAACUUUCUCAAACCCAUGUAAUUUCUGAAUGUGAAGGUGCACUUAUUGAAAUGGAUGGAUUAGUCAACUACCCUCCCAUUCCUAUAAAACUAUACUGAAAAAUAGAUCAAACAAUCAUGACUACCCUGUCCCAAACAAAUGUUUUUUCCCUAAAAUACAGACUUAAAAGGAUUGUAUCACAGUACUAUUUGGAGCACUUUUACAUUUAGAGGACUUAGAUGCUGAGUGCCAAGUACUGGAUGUGAGUAAGCUUGAUCAUUUAGAUUAUUUAGAUAAUCAACAUCCUUACUCCUACAGUAACUGCAUUGCCUAAUGUAAAUUUCCAGGAUGUUCGUGUAGUUAGCUCCCAACCAAAGUGGAAUUUGGUUUUUGUUCGUAUACUUCAACAAUGUGAAUUUUUUUCAUGCAGUAACCUUGGUUUUUGUUCCUGCAGUAAUUGAAUUUCCAGGAUGUGAAUUUUCAGGAUGUUCAUGUAGCUAGCUCCCAACCAAAGUGGAAUUUGCUUUUUUUCUGUACUUCAACAAUGUCACAUGUCUUAGUUUAAUUUGGUUUUGGCUAAUUUAAUCUUGAAAACAAAAUGCACUGUAGUAUGAAUCACUUGAGAAAUUCAUUUAUUUCAUAAAUACACAUGAUGCAAUUUUUUUUUAAGUUCUGUUAUUGCUUGCCCUGUCGAUUAUUGAGUUCACAAGGAUCUUCGCUUGGUGAGUAUAAAUUUUGAAUUCUAUCCUCUUCGUAUGUCUCUUCUCUUGCUCGAUUUGCUUUGCUGUUGGUGCCUCUUUGUGACUGUACUGUACCUGCUACUUUUUUUUCGUUAAUCUUGUCUUUGAUCUCGGAAAGGUUACCUGAUUUCGCAUAGAUUUUGUGGCUUAAGAAGUAAUAAUCAUUGUUAAAAUAAGUGAGAUUUGAAAUAAUUAUUUCCUAACAAGUGAGAUAUUAGAUAAUAUGCUGGUAAAUUAUUUCAUAUAUUAUUACUCCUAAUAAGUAAUAAUGUGAAAUUUUUCUCACUCUUCGCAUUAGCUACGUACAAGCAUUAUAACAAACAUCUCACUUCUUCUGCAUGCCAGGCUGUGGUCCAGUAUAUGAAUGAUUUGAAUGCUGUAAGAGGAACAAACCAGAAGAAAACAAAUCGGGGAAGCUUCUGGACCUAGCUCUUCUCGCUGUUUGGUUGUUGCAAAAAGGACCAAGAGCUGGGAUUGCCAGUAUAGCUGAAACAUUUCAUCUAUAUGUAUGUUGUGAAUUAUUCAGGUCUGCAAAGAAAGGAAACGUGGGUAAUUUGGUUCCUCUUCUUUUUUUGGCUUCCUUUUUUUUGUGUGUAUAUAUGUAAUUUUGUCAUGAACCUGUUCCCGCUGCUUCCCGAGGCGUUCAAGGGCAAUAAGCAAAUCGGAGUGAUCGGAUGGGGCUCUCAGGGGCCUGCACAAGCCCAGAACCUGAGGGAUUCAAUAGCUCAAGUGAAGUCCGACGUUGUUGUUAAGAUGCAGCAAAGCCCACAGGCCCCACACUCAAAGAGAGAUAGUUGGUGAUGGAUCAGGAGCUGAGCUUGGCGGUGGAGCGCGAUGCUUUGCUCCAGGAGGACUCGAUUGUUUUUGCGCUCAUCAAGCAGCAGCCUACACUCCCGCCGCCAAAGCUACCGGUGGCGGGUCCCUUGUGGAAAUGUUCUUUCACAUGACAAAACUUGUGGUUAUCAAAGCUCUGGACAUCUACAGAAGAACAAGGAAUCUGCCACGGCAGUGAAACCAACGGGCGAACGCGUUGACCACCGAAGUCGCCAUCAUGCGAUUUCCACCAAGAUCACCAUAAGCCGGUCUUCGCCCAAUAACGUUGCCGUAAAACCCCAGGCAACACCAGGCAUACAUUUGAUGAUGUGUGCUCCUUAGCACAGAAUGUUCAGCUAUCAUCUCACAUGAAGCACAUCACAGAUAUUUCCCAGACUAUACAUCCUUCAACCAGGCUUUACAUUGUCACUAUGAACUCUACAUUCAUGAAACAAGACAGAGUUGUCAGUUCCACUCCGAGCUAUUACUCUCUUCUAGCUGCAUUGGUUAUUUUUCCAUGUCCUUACAGCUAUAUAAAACAACUCACAUAUAAUGUCUUUUAUAGUACUUUGGUAAGGAAUUUACAGGUAGAUAUAUAAAGCCGCUGAUUCAAAACAAGAAAGCCAUCGGUAUUCAGGUCCAGACACUACAGGGUGUUUCAAUUAACAUGCUCAUGUAUAUAUCAACAGAUGGUCGUUGCAACCUAAAGAAAGGAUGGAAGGACUUUGCAGCAAACAUUGGCAUACACCUACACGCAAUUUGCAUGUUUCUUUUCUACAAAGCAACCCACGUUGCACUGACAGUUGAUGUUCUGUGAAAAACAGCUGUUCACCUUGUCCUACAGAUAUCAUUUUGCUAUCGCUGAACUAUAGGCUUGAGAUAUUAUCCAUGUAAAACUCUUGCCUAACAUGCCACUAUAUCUAUACUGAUAGCCACUCUAUCAUAGACACUUAAUGUGGCUCGUAUGUUUCAUGUAAAUUUAAGCUAGCAUCUAUAUGUAUGUCUGCUGCUAAAAAAAAAAACUAAACAGCCAUGUUUCUGUGCCUGGUUAGCAAUGUCAUCUAUCUAUUAACCUUUCCGCAACAUAAUUUCAAUGCUUUCAUUGUUCUGUCCGUUUAUCAAAAAAGAAAAACUGUUAUUUUCUUUCAUGGUAAAUGUACUCACCGUACAAUCUAUGUUUACUGCCCCCAGGCGGCGCGCCAUGGGCGCGCCCCAGACUCUAGUUAGAAACCAUUAAGAGCGGCGGAAGGGGCGGACGCUGGGCGUGUCCACGUCGGAUUUUGCUACAGUAUCUACAGUGCGAGGUUGGAUUUUUUCGAAAAAGCCCUCCGAUUCUUCAUAAUCAGGUAUAGGCCCCUUGCGUCCUGUGUUUGAAGAGAAAACAAUCACGGACAGGGGCUUCGUUGUGAUAUGUGGAAGACGAGGGGCUUUUUCACAAAAAUACGCCAACUAGCCCCUCAAACCCUAGCCGCUUGCUCUCCCUCUCUCGCGCCGCUACCGAGCACUGCCGCCUCCGCCUCCCCCUCACGCCGUCCCCGUUGCCUCGCGCCGCCGCCGCCUCCCCAUCGCGCUGCCACCUCCGCCUCCCGCCGUUCCCAUCGCAGGCCGAGCUGCCGCCGUCCGUCUCCCCUCUGCCCUCUCGUCCCCCACUCUCUCCCUCUCCCUUUCCCUCUCCCUCCGCCGUCUCCUCCCCCACCCUCGCCUCCGCCUUCCCGUCGCGCCAUUGCCUCCGCCUACGCAGCCGCUGUCGUCGCGUCACCGUCUCCAAGCGCCUCUGCUUCCGCCUCCCCCUCGCGUCGUCGCCAUCGUCGUCCCCGUCUCCCUGCGACGCUGGCGCCAUCGCGUCACCGUCUCCGACCGCCGUCACCGAGUGCAGCCGUCUCCGCCUCCGGCCUCCGUCAACGACGAGGUCGGAGCGCCGACGGCUGCAUCACAGGCGGCGCGAAAAGCUGAGGGCCCAAUCCUGGCGGCGGGACUGCCGCGAGGUUCCGGACGCAUCAACUCGAGGGGGAGACGGCGGAGGGAGUGGGGGUUGAGGCGGGCGCGGUCUUCGUCCUCCCGGCGCCAGAUCUGCUUCUCAUCUCCACAAGGACACCCCAGCCCACCACUCAUCGGCGUCGCCAUGGUCGUCGGCGUCGCCCUCAUUGUCGCCGUCGCCAACAGACUGCGUUAAGAAGCCACUCCACCACCACCAGCAGCAGGGGCAUCCACCGUACGCCGCACCAAUGCCUUCCCCUUCCCUCCCAUUUGUGCCCUCUGGGUCACAGGUAGUCGCUUCAUCGGCAGCCGCGUUGCCGUCAAUGUACAAGGCCAAUGACCAGCAGCGAGCAACUCAUGGCACCAGAGACGGCGGCGGCGACGGUGACUACUAAACUCUUGGCACAGGAGAUUACAAAGGACGUGCAGGUGAACUCAAGAAGAAAGUUCGAAAAAUGGGACAUUGCAAUCACAACAUUGGAACCUAAUAUCAACACUAUGCUCAUUGCCAUAGUGCCAGGUAAAGAAAGGGACUACAAUGCUUAUUCAAAGGAUUAUAUGUCUUCCAUAGUGAAGCAGUCAUGCACUAAUACUAGAAGCUGCUUUAGAGAUGGAGACAUCCCGUCAAAAAUCUGCAAUUACCCAAUGAUUUUGUGCCUGAGGAUCAUAUAAAUGACUCUGAUCAAUCGUCCACCUUAGCUGGUUGCUCUGCUUGCUGUGACCAUGCCACGACAUCCGAAAACACAGAGGACCAGGUUUGACAACUUUGGAUUGCAUACCAGAAUUUUCCAUGUUCUUCAGCUCUCAAUAAUUCAUCUUCAGAGGAGAAAGGGAAGUGAGGAAAAUUUGUAAGUGACGAAUUUGACAGAUUGCGACGGGCACCAGUUAUGCUGGUAAUUUUCUUGAACCUGACACUAAUUUCAGGGAGUCCAGGAGUUGGAGCCAUGCAAACAUACAUCAUGCUAAUGUCGUCCUGAGCUUCCAGAUUAGGCCCUGCUGUAUCGAUCAAUAUAUUUAGGUCAGUUGAGGCUCUAAAUUAAUUCUGAUGAUAAUUUUUAUUCUGCUGUAUUUGACGGGCCUCAUGCAUCUGAAGAUCUGGAUUACUGUGGCCGAAUUCGUGUUUUGAUUUUGGGGUGUAAAAUACUGAAAUCAAUACCGUUGUCCUUGCUUUCAUGGGGGGUAUUUGGUGAUUUGGUUACUUCGAUUACAUCGAGUUGGAAUGUCAAUGCUCUCUGAACCUCGAAUUUAUUACUGGGUUACCGCAUUAGAUUAUUGGCUUCGCAAGCUGGGCCUUGUGCAAAUGAUCCUGCGUGAAAUAUGCACAUAAUUUACUUCCCUAGACGAGUUUCUGCUAACUAUUCUAUAGAUCAUUUGCAUAACCCAGCAGCCAGCUGUUUCUCUCUUCUUCCUUUUUUCCCCUCUGAACAUGUUUACUUAGGUCAAUUUCCAGACAUUGAAAUGUCUUGCAAGAUCAAAAUUCAAGGUUACUCCGCUCAUUCUGUUUUGAGAGAGUUCAAGGCUAGAAGAGUAAAGUUAGUAAGCAAAUAAAAAUGAUGCAAAGAAUAUACUUGAUCAGAGCUAAGAAUGCUCUCAUAAGUCAUAAGUCUGAACUCCCAGAAAUAAAACGUCAAGCUCUUAGAAACAUGAUAUAUGCCAUUUAAACCUUAAGUGCCCCUUUCAGUUUUAAGGGUAGAAGCCAUGUCUUCUUGGAUGCUGUCUUUUGAUUUUCCGUCAAAUGGAUCGUCUCCUUUCUAGAGAUCUAAAAUAGACUUGCACAAAAGCAUGCUGUGUAUGCUCCCCAAUUCUUCUCCUUCAACUACACAAAAACACAGAAGAUAAGCUUAUUAAAGAAGAGCGGAGUGUGCCUGUUUAAAUUUUACCUGGAACUAAUAUGAAAUGAAAUAAGCAGCAAUAAAACGUGACAGGGAUUUAUCAUGGCAUUGAAAUGCUACCUCACAGUGUUACAUGAUUAUGAUGUUUCUUUCUUCUUUCUUUUCCUUUUGGCAUGAUAAAAUGAAAACAGGAUAAAAGUUGGUUUAAUUAUGAAAAGGCCAUGGAUUUACUACAGCAUUAUCUGUGAUGACUUAUUUGCUACUCUUCAUGCACUCAAUGCUAGGACCAAAUGCAUGAAUAGAAUGAGAAAAUAGUCCUAGGUAUUGGGAAACUGUAUCAGACACAUGCCCAUUCAUUCUAACAACAUUUCAGUUUGAUUCUCAAAAUUCUUCAUGCCAUCAAAGUAAAUACUAUCUGCACUGUCUCAAAUCAACUACAAAGCUGUCAAUAAAAAAAUGACAAAGAAACAGAAGAAAAGGUGAAGAUAGAGCUUACUACUUAUUUUAAGCACAUGUCUUGAUUCUCUUGAGGGCUCAAUCACGGACCCCUUCGGUAAUUUGUAUUCAUCCUUGAAAAGUGAAAUGAAACUGUGGAGACCAAGGUGUCAAAGACAGAAGAAACUUGUGUAGUUAUCAUUUUAACUUGACAAAGGUAUGCUAAGAUUGGAACUUACGCAUUAACAAAAAAAUAGUGGAACAACAUUAUUUACUAAACAGAGUGACAAACCUGAAACUAUAAUAUGAUUUAUUUUUCUCAGCUGAUGAUUAGUUCUGAAUCAGUAUUGCUCUUCUUGACAAAUGACCUCUCUCUCUCUCUCUCUCUCAGCAUGAUGACAGCAUUAUUUCUAUACAUGGGGAUAUUGUGUAUCCGGAUAAGAAUAGCAUUAUUUGUAGGUAAGACAUAUAUAAGAAGUAAAUGUAUUUCUAAUUUAUAAACUGAGAAUGUAUUAUUAAGUGCUUUAACAUGUCAUAUGCAGAAGUUGCUGGAAUGCUAGAUAAUCUUGUCCUCUUUUAAACAUAGCAUGAGAAUUAUAGUAGAAUCAAGAUGCUUUCCUUUGCUUGGUAAAAAUGUUUUGGACUGCAUUUCAGAACUCAUACCAUCAUCUAUUUCAGUGUAAUUACAUUAUUCUGCAGAAAGACACACAAAACUAUCAUGGAAAUAUGGAAUAGAUAGUUCUAUAUUUAUAAGGCAUAUAGUUCUUAAUUCUUUUAAUCAAGCUGAGUGCUGUUUUGUGUGGUUCAUGAAUCUUUGCGUUACCUGUAAAGCUGUGGUUUAUAUAUUUCUUUGGGAGCUAGGUUCGCUUGGUAAUAUAAUUGACUGGUAGUAAUAUACAUUGGUUGCACUUUGAAUGUGCUGAGAAUGGGGUCACCUUGCAUGCUUUUUUAUAUUCUUAAAUAAUGAUGAAUUUUCAUGUGAAUGUAUGUAUAGCAUCCACAUUGUUCAUGUCACUGAUUAGGAAAAAUGUAUUAUUUGUUCACGUAUAUCUCAUUUGUUCUCUGUGUUACUAAAGGCUGGAGGCUAUAGAAAAAUAUUUCAGCCUUGAAACAGUCAAGGACAUUGUGGAAGCCAUGGUGAGUGAUGCUUCAGUUGUUUUAUACUUCCAAAUCUCUGGGCAUGGUAUGUGCUCCUUUUCAUUUGAACAUGAGUAAGCAGAAUGCUGUUGAUUGGUACGAUAGCUUUCAAGGCUACAUUUUAUUUCCAUCUCAUUAUUUACUCAAAUGAAUCUCGUGGAUAUUUUUUUUGGAAUUAUCAAGUAUUUUUUUCAAAUAUAGUAGUUAUCGUUACCGUUUUGGCAUAGAUUUUGUUCCUUAGGCUACCUUUUAGUUUGAUCUUGAAGGUUUUGGUUCCAUAUACAUAAAUUUUGCUUAUGGUUCAAAACUUUUAAGGAGAUGUUGUAAACUUGUAAUCAGGAAAGUGAAGCAUCUAAGUUAGAUGAGGAUUGUUGUACCUUGGCCAUGAAAUGACUGAGAGAGCCCUAUCCAGUUCUGUUGAGAGCCUCACAGUGUUUGAUGAAUUGCAAGCUACAAAUGCUUUGCUGUAGAUAUGAAUUGCAAGCUUACAGAAAAGGUUUUGCACUGUGGGCUAAAAAGUCCCAUUAACCAGGAAGGAUGUGAUGCGAUGCUGAAUCUAAUAUUGGAAAGUCAAGCCCUUUGUUCUUCAAUUGUCCUAUUUGCAAAGAUUAUGACCUUUCAAUUUGUCAUCAAUUAUUUAUGACACCAAUGCAUUCUCUUGGUGUAUGCACCAAAGCAAUUUGUACGCGGAAUUACUUAUAUUUUUUAUAUAAUGAAAGCAUUGUGUUCAUGUUUGAACUAAAAGUCAAACAAACUGAGGUUUUAGUAGGGGAUGCUUUGCAUUGAUAAUAAAGUACCCAUUACUUUGUAGUUACAUGGGAUAUUUGUUACAUAGGAUGGAUUACUGACUCAACUCUGGUGUCAUUGAUAUACACAGGAGAGUUAAUAUAGAAUAUAUGAUGUUACUAAUA